rnacentral:rRNA from 1 species
CACGCAGGCGGUUUGUUAAGUCAGAUGUGAAAUCCCCGGGCUCAACCUGGGAACUGCAUCUGAUACUGGCAAGCUUGAGUCUCGUAGAGGGGGGUAGAAUUCCAGGUGUAGCGGUGAAAUGCGUAGAGAUCUGGAGGAAUACCGGUGGCGAAGGCGGCCCCUGGACGAAGACUGACGCUCAGGUGCGAAAGCGUGGGGAGCAAACA